rnacentral:rRNA from 1 species
GGUGUCGUAGCGAACGAGGACGUUUACUUUGAAAAAAUUAGAGUGUUCAAAGCAGGCCUACGCCCGAAUACAUUAGCAUGGAAUAAUAGAAUAGGACGCGCGUUCCCAUUUUGUUGGUUUCUGAGAUCGCCGUAAUGAUUAAUAGGGAUAGUUGGGGGCAUUUGUAUUCCGUCGUCAGAGGUGAAAUUCUUGGAUUGCCGGAAGACAAACUAUUGCGAAAGCAUUUGCCAAGGAUGUUUUCAUUGAUCAAGAACGAAGGAAGGGGGAUCGAAAACGAUCAGAUACCGUUGUAGUCUCUUCUGUAAACUAUGCCAAUUGGGGAUUAGCUCAGGAUUUUUAAUGACUGAGUUAGCACCCGAAGAGAAAUCUUUAAAUGAGGUUCGGGGGGGAGUAUGGUCGCAAGGCUGAAACUUAAAAGAAUUGACGGAAGGGCACCACCA